CUUGACUGUUCUGUUACAUUUAUUUACUUAUUCAGUCACGUAUUUAUAUCAAUAUGGGCUCACGGAGGUUUGCGUUCUUCUUUGGGUUGUAACCUAAUAUAAUUAUUUAAUAGUUUUUCUCCGGUUGUUCCAGCUAUUGCUCUUGGGAGCUCUCUACGUUUGGCGCGUGUCCAUUUGGAAUGCGCCCAUCUUUCUUUUCCGCCCGCCAUUUUGAAGCACUUCCUUUCUUCCUGGCAUUACAAGAUGUUCCAGUCUUGAGUCAGAAUUUCUUUGAGGGGAUCUCUCUUCCUGGAGGACGAUGAAUAAGAGGUUAUGAAUUUUCAUAGAGCUGAAAGAUGUGCUUCUGUGUCAGAGGAGGGAAGAAGACAAGGAACGAGACCUUCCUGAGACAGACUCUGAUUGCGUGGUGGCCCAGGCUUCCUGUUCAGAGGGCAUGCGGAGUGAACUAGGUUGAACCCCACUUGUGGGGCUGAAAAUGUAUUCCCACGGUGGUCUGGAAAUUCCCCUGGCCGCAGGGUCCUGACCUGGGGCAUCUUCGAGCCUCCAGCACCCCACAUGGCUCCUCCAGGGGCAGGGCCUCUGCAAUAUGAGAUCAACAGGAGGAAUUUAGUCUCACCCUUUGCUGCCAUUUAACUCCAAAUUAACUUUUAUUUGUUUAUUUUUUGUACAUUUGGCUCAUCUGACACUGGCAUUAAAGGAAGGAAAAGAACCAGGUGAUAAAUCAAAACCUGAAUGUUGGGAACGAAUUGCUGCCUUCAUCUAUUUAUUUUUAUCUGUCUGUUUUUAACAUUUGAACCAUUUUAAGUGUGUAGUUAAGUGGCAUUAAUUACAUUUGCACUGCUGUGCAGCCGCUGCCAUCCCUGUCUGUUUUCAUUUUCUCAAACUGAAAUUCUGUACCCAUUGAAUAGUAACUCCCCGCUCCCCCGUUCCCUGAUGGCCACCGCUCU
rnacentral:lncRNA from 1 species